AGUGAACGCUGGCGGUAGGCCUAACACAUGCAAGUCGAACGGCGGCACAGGAGAGCUUGCUCUCUGGGUGGCGAGUGGCGGACGGGUGAGGAAUACAUCGGAAUCUACUCUGUCGUGGGGGGUAACGUAGGGAAACUUACGCUAAUACCGCAUACGACCUACGGGUGAAAGCAGGGGACCUUCGGGCCUUGCGCGAUUGAAUGAGCAGAUGUCGGAUUAGCUAGUUGGCGGGGUAAAGGCCCACCAAGGCGACGAUCCGUAGCUGGUCUGAGAGGAUGAUCAGCCACACUGGAACUGAGACACGGUCCAGACUCCUACGGGAGGCAGCAGUGGGGAAUAUUGGACAAUGGGCGCAAGCCUGAUCCAGCCAUACCGCGUGGGUGAAGAAGGCCUUCGGGUUGUAAAGCCCUUUUGUUGGGAAAGAAAUCCAGCUGGCUAAUACCCGGUUGGGAUGACGGUACCCAAAGAAUAAGCACCGGCUAACUUCGUGCCAGCCGCCGCCGUAA
rnacentral:rRNA from 1 species